CCAAUAGCGUAUAUUAAAGUUGUUGCAGUUAAAAAGCUCGUAGUUGAAUUUCGGGGUUAAUAAGUUGGUCGUACCUAUGGUAUGUACUGGCUUUAUUGAUUCCUACCUCUUGACGAACUGUGAUGCCAUUAAUUUGGUGUUGCAAGGAAUCAGGACUGUUACCUUGAAAAAAUUAGAGUGUUUAAAGCAGGCUUACGCUUGAAUACAUUAGCAUGGAAUA
rnacentral:rRNA from 1 species